ACACAAGAAGGGAGGUGGUCCGGAAAAUUGAUAGCUUCUAGGACAUGUGAGGUGGCUGCCCGCUAGCAGCACCAGGUGCAUGGAAUCACCUACGCCUUGAGCGCGCUGGCGAAUUCCAGGCAGCUACCCGGCCCCCGAGCUCUUGGUUAGUCCGACCAAGGAAAACGGCUCGGGGGCCGCCCCAU
rfam:Mycobacterium sp. EPa45, complete genome.